AGUGAACGCUGGCGGUAGGCCUAACACAUGCAAGUCGAACGGCAGCACAGUAAGAGCUUGCUCUUACGGGUGGCGAGUGGCGGACGGGUGAGGAAUACAUCGGAAUCUACUUUUUCGUGGGGGAUAACGCAGGGAAACUUACGCUAAUACCGCAUACGACCUACGGGUGAAAGCAGGGGAUCUUCGGACCUUGCGCGAUUGAAUGAGCCGAUGUCGGAUUAGCUAGUUGGCGGGGUAAAGGCCCACCAAGGCGACGAUCCGUAGCUGGUCUGAGAGGAUGAUCAGCCACACUGGAACUGAGACACGGUCCAGACUCCUACGGGAGGCAGCAGUGGGGAAUAUUGGACAAUGGGCGCAAGCCUGAUCCAGCCAUACCGCGUGGGUGAAGAAGGCCUUCGGGUUGUAAAGCCCUUUUGUUGGGAAAGAAAAGCAGCAGGUUAAUACCCCGCUGUUCUGACGGUACCCAAAGAAUAAGCACCGACUAACUUCGUG
rnacentral:rRNA from 1 species